UCAGCUACAACGGUGAGGUGUUGCGGUGGUGGCGGUGCGAGGCUACUUGGACGUUGCUGCCCAAUUCCUUCGUGUGUAGAGAUGUGCGAUGAUCGGAUGAAAAUCUUGCACAACUUUUUCCAGGCCGGCGGCAAUGGCACCCGUGGGUGUCAUUCCCCUCCUUGGAGGCGUCGUCAAGGUGUGAUCGACAUCUCUCCCUCGCUAGUGUGGAGUUGAUUGUUGUCUCCGGGCGAAAGCUUCGAUUUGGUGUAGGAUUGACACGAUUGCGGUCUCCUCGGCGUCGCUUCUUUGUCGGGAGCAUCGUGUUUGGCGACACGGCUUUGUUCCUCAUUGCUUUCCUCCGGUGUUCGCCAUGGUCCUAGAUUGAUCCUCGACGGCGCUAUGUACGAUCGUCGCCGGUAUGUCCAAGGUGGUCUCUUCCUCGGAGCGGAUCAAGUCCUGUCAUUCACUUACUAUCUCCUCUUAGACAUUCAGGGUGGAUGGUGCGUUGACAAACAAAAUUCAAUGGGAGCUAGUGGUCUUCGGAGGUGCCCGGCGUUGGUCGACACGGUGUUGUUCUCAGUUAGGGCAUGUGCUUCUUUGUAGUUUUGUUUCGUCGUUGGUAGUUGUGUUUGGUCUUACUUGAGUGUGGUGUUUGUGCUACGCUCGUUGUUCACAAUGAGUGGCAAUAUUCUUGUACUUAUAAUUCUACCUUCUAUAAAGCUACAGUAUGCCUAGGUGUACUCUCGAAAAGAAAACAUGAGCGAUUUUUUAUAUAGUGCAAUUUUUCAGCACCCUUACUAUUUGUUUGGUUUGCUCGAAUAUCUCAUGGAACCCAUCACUAAUAACGAAAUAAGAAAUAAAUUAGUCAUCAGCAAUCUCUCGAGAAAGAAAAACAUGUUUGGCUCCUAGCAACAUACUAUUUGGAGGCAUAUGUAAGUGAUGGUGCAUCCUAAUAUAAAACACCGUCUCAUACAAUUUUUGCUCAGUUGUCAUGCGUAGAUUGCCUUUCUUAAAAAACAGAAGUCUUCACGAGAGAAGCGGUAUGUGUUUCUGUUUGCGGUUUGCUUCAUUCUAUUCAUCUUGGGUCUCUCUCUGAUAGCUAUGGCGAUGCCGGGUUUCAGGAGGAUUUCUCAAGUGAGAUGAAUGGAUCACGGGCAAUACAAGAGGCAUGAUGUCUUCAAUCCCUUGAGUGGAUCAUAGGCAAUAAAUAAAUGGCUGGCUAUCCAAUAUGUAGGACUUGUAGAGCUUGAAAAAGCUUGUUUUUUUUUCUGGUGAAAAGUGACUAAAAACUUAAAGAUCAGAACACUUUCUGUAAUUCCUCAGCUUCCGUGCGGGAUCUGCAUCCUCAACGUAGAGUAACUUUGCUUAUUGCACCUCUUACCAUAUCUGGCUCCGUGCUGGUUGAGUUGAGCUUAACUUUUCGACUUCAGAAAUAUCUAUUGUUGGGAAUCGAUAACUCCGGAACGACCUGUAUUUUUACAUCUCGUCCCGAACGCGUCCGGACCACUUGAUCAAAACUCACAUAUCUUAAAGAUAGCACCUGCCACAUCAUCCAGAGUCGAGCGUUCGGAGAAGCGGUCGUCGCGACCGAACGCCACUCCCCACCCACAGCACGCAGCCCCACUCCCCUAUCCAUUCUUCCCACUCCCCUCCCCACUCCCUUUCUCACAUCCCGAAUCCUCAUCGCCGGCGACCUGGAGACCCGAGCGAGGCGGAGGCCGACCGCGGGCAGGUUGCCACGAUGCUCGGCGACGCAAAGCACCAGCUGGUGUUCUACGGAUCUGCGCCGCCCGGCUCGAGCUGCCGUCGUGGGCGGAGGCCGUGGGCCGCGGCGGCCGCCGAGCAGCCUCCAUCUUCCCUUCCCGCCGUCGCCGAGCUGGCCAUCCUCGACGCCAUCGGAGUCCUCCGUCGCCGAGCUGACCGUCCCCACCGCCAUCAGAGGCCUCCGGCCCGGGCUGCUCGACCCUCUCGAUAAGGCUGCCAUUGCGGGUAGAGCCCCUUUCGGCUCCGGCGGUGAUCCCCUUUGACGCUGUGCGAGAGGAGUCUCCUCGGCUCCGGCGGCAAUCCAACAAGCGACAGCCAUGGCGGGGUUGCAGCUGCGCGCGGUGCUGCUCGCGACGGCCAGCGAAAUCGCGGCUUCCGUCCUAGAGCUCCAUCUCCGCCGUUUCGCCUUACAAAAGCGCGACGCGGAGGUUCCGACAUGGCUUCCUUCAUCGACAGCUGACAGCCAUCCAUGGCCCAGUGCCCUCCGUCCGGGGAAGAUGUUGGUGCUCGCGUAGGCAGCGUGCUAGAGGAUGAGGUGCUGCUCGGACAAUAUCUGGGGAGGUCGGCGGCUUCCUCUUCCAUUUCCCCCAGGAUCGAGCCAGCAGGAGCUGCUACUGCUGCUCGUGUGGAAAAAGGCCGGCCCUGUUGAUGGGGGCGUUCGCGCUGGGGCGUUCUCCUCCGGAACGAGUUGUACUCGUUCGAUCGAUCCCGCUUCCGUCCGGAACGAAAAGUUCGAUCUGGCGCGCUCCAGACCGACGGUCGCGCCUUAUCGGUGUCCCUAUUGUUUGCUCUGGUAGUGCUGUCAUCCUUCCGGACAUGCAAGACAUCUCUGGGCUCUGUUGUACCCUGAGUUACAACUUACAAACUUUGUGCGAUGUAACCGUUUGCAUUUACUAGUUUGAUCAAUGCGAGUCUCAGUCAAAUAUUUACUA